ACCUGGCUGGCUCAGGUGAUAGAGCAUGUGACUCUUAAUCUCAGUAUCAGGAGUUCGAGCCCCAUGUUGGGUA
rnacentral:tRNA from 1 species